AACCCCCUGAAUGAUGUAGGCUAUGGGGCCACAUAAGACUUUGUCCAUCCAGGGUUACAUUGAACGACAACUUUAAACUAAAGAACCCCCUGAAUGAUGUAGGCUAUGGGGCCACAUAAGACUUUGUGCAUCCAGGGUUACAUAGCAGGACAACUUUAAACUAAAAAGCUACCAGACUGGGAUUUUAGUGUACUCCAGGAUCUACCAAAUACUACUACGAAGUGUACAGUGCAUAAUAGUGUUAGUGUAUAAUCUAACCUAAGGAUUAAGUGUAGUACAUUGUGCUUUAUAGUGUCACAAGAGUUUAAUAAAGAAUUAUACCUUCAAGAACCAUCCUUUGCCAUUGAAAUAACCACACUACACAUCAUGCAAUAUACUUGCAUGUCACACAGGUAAGGUCUCUAACUUUUUCUUAGUUUAAGGCAUAUUUCCAAGUGUCGUUCCGGCUUACGACGAUUUUCGGCUUACGACGCGCCUCAAGAACGGAACCCCCGUCGUAACCCGGGGA